rfam:Beta vulgaris subsp. vulgaris chromosome 4, whole genome shotgun sequence.
AAACCAUGAUGAGGACAGAGAAGUUGUAGAUCGUUGCACCUCUCCCAAGCUUCAUACAAGGACUCACAAGGAUCUUGGGUGAAAGUAACUAUGACAUGUCGCAUAUCUGCAGUCU